AUUGAACGCUAGCGGGAUGCCUUACACAUGCAAGUCGAACGGAGUGGCGAACGGGUGAGUAAUGUAUCGGAACGUGCCCAGUAGCGGGGGAUAACUACGCGAAAGCGUAGCUAAUACCGCAUACUAUUGGAGCGGCCGGUAUCGGAUUAGCUGGGUGGUGGGGUAACGGCUCACCAAGGCGACGAUCCGUAGCUGGUUUGAGAGGACGACCAGCCACACUGGGACGGAGACACGGCCCAGCUCCAGACGGGAGGCAGCAUGGGGGAAUUUUGGACAAGGGGGGAAACCCUGAUCCAGCCAGCCCGGGUGUGCGAUGAAGGCUUUCGGGUUGUAAAGCACUUUUGGCAGGAAAGCGGUACCUGCAGAAUAAGCACCGGUUACCUACGUGCCAGCAGCCGCGGUAAUU
rnacentral:rRNA from 1 species